GCCGGGCAUGGUGGUGCAUGCCUCUAAUCUCAGCUACUCAGGAGGCUGAGGCAGGAGAAUCACUUGAACCCAGGAGGUGGAGGUUGCUGUGAGCUGAGAUCGUGCCACUGCACUCCAGCCUGGGUGACAAAGAGAGACUCUGCCUCAC
rfam:Pan troglodytes isolate Yerkes chimp pedigree #C0471 (Clint) chromosome 6, whole genome shotgun sequence.